UACGUAGGGGGCAAGCGUUAUCCGGAUUUACUGGGUGUAAAGGGAGCGUAGACGGCUGUGCAAGCCAGAUGUGAAAGCCCGGGGCUCAACCCCGGGACUGCAUUUGGAACUGUGUAGCUGGAGUGUCGGAGAGGCAGGCGGAAUUCCUAGUGUAGCGGUGAAAUGCGUAGAUAUUAGGAGGAACACCAGUGGCGAAGGCGGCCUGCUGGACGAUGACUGACGUUGAGGCUCGAAAGCGUGGGAAGCAAACAGG
rnacentral:rRNA from 1 species